rnacentral:piRNA from 1 species
UGCUUCAUUCUGAUGGAAAAUCAUUACCACC